GAUGAACGCUGGCGGCGUGCCUAAUACAUGCAAGUCGAGCGAACAGACGAGGAGCUUGCUCCUCUGACGUUAGCGGCGGACGGGUGAGUAACACGUGGAUAACCUACCUAUAAUACUGGGAUAACUUCGGGAAACCGGAGCUAAUACCGGAUAAUAUAUUGAACCGCAUGGUUCAAUAGUGAAAGACGGUUUUGCUGUCACUUAUAGAUGGAUCCCCACCGCAUUAGCUAGUUGGUAAGGUAACGGCUUACCAAGGCAACGAUGCGUAGCCGACCUGAUAGUGUGAUCGGCCACACUGGAACUGAGACACGGUCCAGACUCCUACGGGAGGCAGCAGUAGGGAAUCUUCCGCGAUGGGCGAAAGCUUGACGGAGCAACGCCGCGUGAGUGAUGAAGGUCUUCGGAUCGUAAAACUCUGUUAUUAGGGAAGAACAAAUGUGUAAGUAACUAUGCACGUCUUGACGGUACCUAAUCAGAAAGCCACGGCUAACUACGUG
rnacentral:rRNA from 1 species